rnacentral:rRNA from 1 species
GAGUUUGAUCCUGGCUCAGGACGAACGCUGGCGGCGUGCUUAACACAUGCAAGUCGAACGGGCUUCUGGGGUUCUGGCUUUUGGUUGGGGUUCUGGGGGUUAGUGGCGAACGGGUGAGUAACACGUGAGUAACCUGCCCUUCACUUCUGGAUAACCGCUUGAAAGGGUGGCUAAUACGGGAUGUUUCUGGGUCUGUCGCAUGGCGGGUUCGGGAAAGAUGGCACUGUUUGGUGUUUUUGGUGGGGGAUGGGCUCGCGGCCUAUCAGCUUGUUGGUGGGGUGAUGGCCUGCCAAGGCUUUGACGGGUAGCCGGCCUGAGAGGGUGGGCGGUCACACUGGGACUGAGAUACGGCCCAGACUCCUACGGGAGGCAGCAGUGGGGAAUAUUGCACAAUGGGCGGAAGCCUGAUGCAGCGACGUCGCGUGAGGGAUGGAGGCCUUCGGGUUGUGAACCUCUUUCGCCAGUGAGGAAGGCCUUGCCCGUGUGGUGGGGUUGACGGUAGCUGGGUUAAUUGAAGCGCCGGCUAACUACGUGCCAGCAGCCGCGGUAAUACGUAGGGCGCGAGCGUUGUCCGGAAUUAUUGGGCGUAAAGGGCUUGUAGGCGGUUGGUCGCGUCUGCCGUGAAAUCCUCUGGCUCAGCUGGGGGCGUGCGGUGGGUACGGGCUGGCUUGAGUGCGGUAGGGGAGGCUGGAACUCCUGGUGUAGCGGUGGAAUGCGCAGAUAUCAGGAGGAACACCGGUGGCGAAGGCGGGUCUCUGGGCCGUUACUGACGCUGAGGAGCGAAAGCGUGGGGAGCGAACAGGAUUAGAUACCCUGGUAGUCCACGCUGUAAACGUUGGGCACUAGGUGUGGGGGGUCUUUCCGGGUCUUCCGCGCCGUAGCUAACGCAUUAAGUGCCCCGCCUGGGGAGUACGGCCGCAAGGCUAAAACUCAAAGGAAUUGACAGGGACCCGCACAAGCGGUGGAUGAUGUGGAUUAAUUCGAUGCAACGCGAAGAACCUUACCUGGUCUUGACAUGUACGGAAUCCUCCAGAGACGGAGGAGUGCCUUCGGGAGCCGUAACACAGGUGCUGCAUGGCUGUCGUCAGCUCGUGUCGUGAGAUGUUGGGUUAAGUCCCGCAACGAGCGCAACCCUUGUCAUUAGUUGCCAUCAUUUAGUUGGGCACUCUAAUGAGACUGCCGGUGACAAGCCGGAGGAAGGUGGGGAUGACGUCAAGUCCUCAUGGCCCUUAUGACCAGGGCUUCACACGUCAUACAAUGGUCGGUACAGAGGGUAGCCAAGCCGCGAGGUGGAGCCAAUCUCACAAAACCGAUCGUAGUCCGGAUUGCACUCUGCAACUCGAGUGCAUGAAGUCGGAAUCGCUAGUAAUCGCAGGUCAGCAUACUGCGGUGAAUACGUUCCCGGGUCUUGUACACACCGCCCGUC